rnacentral:rRNA from 1 species
CCUACGGGUGGCAGCAGGGGGGAAUAUUGCACAAUGGGGGAAACCCUGAUGCAGCGACGCCGCGUGAAGGAAGAAGUAUUUCGGUAUGUAAACUUCUAGCAGCAGGGAAGAAAAUGACGGUACCUGACUAAGAAGCCCCGGCUAACUACGUGCCAGCAGCCGCGGUAAUACGUAGGGGGCAAGCGUUAUCCGGAUUUACUGGGUGUAAAGGGAGCGGAGGCGGCGAGGCAAGUCAGAAGUGAAAGCCCGGGGCUCAACUCCGGGACUGCUUUUGAAACGGUAUGGCUAGCUUGCAGGAGAGGCAAGUGGAAUUCCUCGUGUAGCGGUGAAAUGCGUCGAUCUUAGGAGGCACACCAGUGGCGAAGGCGGCUUGCUGUACUGUACCUGCCGCUGAGGCUCGCCAGCGUUGGGAGCAAACCGGAUUAGAUCCCCGGGUAGUC